GGAAUAUGAGCAGAAUUGGUGCAGACGGUUGUAGAAGUCUUCAUGUCACUGCACCCCAUAUACCAUUUGAACUCACAGCCAUAUACCAGAUGUGGGUGCUGCAGUCUGACAAGAUUCCACAGACACUUCUGUGCCUGACAGUGUCUCAAGAGACAGAACUGGUAAGUGGAAAGGUCAAAGGCUGGGCACUGGAUAUGAGUGGGAAGAGGUGGAAGAUCUUCAAGGCACCUGUCAAGACAACUCCACUGAGUUGGAAGCUGAUCCUACUGAGAAGACUCUUCUAAGAAGACUGAGAAGAGGAGGCUCAGGGUAGACCUUAUUGCUCUUUAGAGUGACCAGAAAGAAGGUUGUAUGAGGUGGAGUUUGGCCUCUUCUCCCAGGUAACAAAGUUAGGGAUGAGAGGGAAUGGCUUCAAGUUGUACCAGGGGACAUUCAGGUUGGAUGUUAGGAAACAUUUCUUCUCAGUAAGAGCAGUGCUGCAGUGGCACAGGCUGCCCAGGGAGGUGGUAGUCACUGUCCCUGAAAGUGUUCCAGAAUCGUGUGGAUGUGGCACUGAGGGACAUGGUUAGUGGGCAUGGUGUGGACAGGCUGAUGGCUGGACUAGAUGAUUUUAGAGGUUUUUUCCAUCCUUAGUGAUUCUGCGAGGAAAGUUCCUGCUCUAACAUUCCCUGCUUUUGUGCAUAGGCUAAAUGAAAUCACUGCCCCUGGAUCCAGAUUGGUCUCAAGGAUUACUGUAAAGCAUCUCUUUGAUAGCUGUGGCACCAACAUCUUAAUGUGUGAGACUGUUCCCUACUGGAGGAGUGCUCAGUCCCAACAAGACAAGGCGUUAACGAUCUGCUCCACAGUCAAGAACUGCUAGCUUCUACUCUUUGCAGAGCUCUAUCUGUGCCCUGUAGUAAUGGCUUCUCUCACCCCUUCCCCUCAAUGCUGGCUGCAGGCUGAAGAUGUCUAUGUGCCACAUGGCAGCCCCUUCUGCAGUGCCAGUGCUCCCAGUCUCCUUGUCAGGCUGGGCACGUCGGGCUCUGCUCCCCUGGGUAGUUUUGUUCCUUGCCCACCUGAGUGCUGAUGCUAUGGUAAAAAUAACUCUGCACGGAAAUGAGAGCACUGAUUGGGAUUUAAAUAAAAUUUACAUAAAACUCUGCUUUGAGUACUAA
rnacentral:lncRNA from 1 species